AUGAAAGUAUAUGUAGACAGAUUCCAGAGUUGAAAGAGGUCUUAUGAAGAAAAUCAGGGGCGGGGGUACUUGAGCACCAAGAGGAUAGGAGUGGCCGCUCUCCUUAGCCUCCUCAUGAGAGGAUGAAGAUGACUUUAUGAUACCCUUGUUACUAUUGACACAUAUAACUGUGAUCUUCACUUCAAGGUGGCCCGAGAUCAGAGUAGUGACUAUCCGUUCACAAUUGAGGGCUUUGCAUACCUGUGGUCAGGAGCCCGAGCCAGCUAAGGGGUCAGAUGGAGCUGUGUUGCUCUGAGAUGAAGAUCAAUGAGGAAAUCUCCAGGAAGCACCUUCCAUCUACAGAGCCUGACACUACCAUGGUCCAUAUCAGCUGGUCCCUGGAUUCCUGCAGCACCCAGCUAGGGGAAGCGUCUUUCUCCUACAGCUAUGGCGACACUGGGAAGAAGUCCGCCAGUAGCCAGUUUGAAAACUGCAGAGACAAGUUUGCAGAGAACUAUGUGAUUGGCUGCUUUUUGGACUUUUAAUGUGGAAAUGACGUGGAACUUUCCUUUACCAAGAACGGAAAAGUGAAUGGGCAUUGCCUUCCGAAUCCAGAAGGAAGCCUUCGGGCGAGGUCCGGCCCUCUAUCCUCAUGUCCUGGUGAAGAGUUGCGCAGUAGAGUUCAACUUCACACAGAGGGCAGAGCCCUACUGUUCUGUCCUCCUGUGGCUUACCUUUAGCCAGCACCUGCGCUUUAGUGAGCAGAUCGAGGGCACAGUUGGACCAAAGAGCAAGGCAGAAUGUGAGAUUCUGAUGAUAGUGGGCCUGCCUGCUGGUGGCAAGACCACACUGGCCAUCAAACAUGCAGCCGCCAACCCUUCCAAGAAGUACAACAUCCUGGGUACCAAUGCCAUCAUGGAUAAGAUGCGGGUGACGGGCCGCCAGCGGAACUCUGCUUGCAGCUGGGACGUUCUAACCCAGCAGGCCACCUAGUGCCUCAAUCGGAUCAUUCAGAUUGCUGCCCGCAAGAGACGCAACUAUAUCCUAGAUAAGACAAACGUUUAUGGGUCAGCCCAGAGACGAAAAAUGAGACCAUUUGAAGGCUUCCAGCACAAAGCUAUUGUAAUUUGUCCUACUGACCGGACCUAAAAGGCCGAACCAUAAAGCGAACCAACGAGGAAGGGAAGCAUCUCCCAGAUCAUGCGGUCUUAGAAAUGAAAGCCAGCUUCACAUUGCCAGAUGUUGGGGACUUCCGGGAUGAGGUUCUGUUCACUGAGCUGCAUCGGGAGGAAGCAGACAAGCUAGUGACGCCGGACAACGAGGAAGGCCGCAAGGCUGGGCCACUGCCUGAAAAGCGCUUCGACAACCAACCGAGGUGGCGGUGGCUUCCAGCACGACUGAGGACCACCUGAAGGCAGCCGUGGCAGCUUCCAGAACUGAGGGCGAGGCAGCGGUGGAGGAGGCAACUACCGAGGAGGUUUCUAGAGCCGCGGAGAUGGUGGCAACAGCCAGAACCGCUGGGGUAGCAACAACCGGGGUAACAACUCCAACAACAGAGGCGGCUAUAACCAGGCUCCCCAGCAACAGCCGCCACCACAGCAGCCUUCGCCACCUCAGCCACCACCCCAGCAGCCACCGCCACCACCCAGCUACAGCCCUGCUCGAAACCCCCAGGGGCUUGUACCUACCAUAAGAACAGCAGCAUCCCUGGCUCAAGCACCAAUACCAGCCCAAUACCAGCAUCCCUACCGUCAGCAGCCACAGCCCUCCACAGCUGAGCUACAGCCACCCUACAACCAGGGAGGUUACAGCCAGGGCUCCACAGCCCCACCACCUCCACCUCCACCACCACCUGCCUACAGCUUGGGAGCUACGGCGGUUACAACCCGGUCCCCUUACCCCCACCACCACCUCCACUGCACAGACCUACCCUCGGCCCAGAUGUGACCAGUAUCAGCAGUAUGCCCAGCAGUGGAACCAGUACUAUCAGAACCAGGGCCAGUGGCCGCCAUUCUACGGGAACUACGCCUAUAGGAGCUACUCUGGGAACACACAGAGUGGCACAAGCCACAGUAGCCAGUGUAACCCAGGGGCUCCCGGAGGCCUCUGCCGGCUUCCUCCACCAGCGCCGGCCUCGGCCUCUCCUCCGCCCCGGCCAGAUCCCCUGGUGCUGGGGCUAUCCCAGGGCUUCCUCUCUCCAGCCCACUGA